rnacentral:rRNA from 1 species
GACGGGGGGGGGCAAGUGUUCUUCGGAAUGACUGGGCGUAAAGGGCGCGUAGGCGGUGCGGUAAGUCUGCAGUGAAAUCUCUGGGCUCAACUCAGAGUCUGCUGUAGAAACUGCCGUGCUUGGGUGUGGGAGAGGUGAGUGGAAUUCCACGUGUAGCGGUGAAAUGCGUAGAUAUGGUGGAGGAACACCAGUGGCGAAGGCGACUCUCUGGUCUGUAACUGACGCUGGAGGCGCGGAAAGCGUGGGGAGCAAACAGG